UAACGCGUGGGUAACCUGCCUCACACAGGGGAGUAACAGUUGGAAACGGCUGCUAAUACCGCAUAAGCGCACAGUACCGCAUGGUACAGUGUGAAAAACUCCGGUGGUGUGAGAUGGAUCCGCGUCUGAUUAGCUAGUUGGCAGGGCAACGGCCUACCAAGGCGACGAUCAGUAGCCGACCUGAGAGGGUGACCGGCCACAUUGGGACUGAGACACGGCCCAA
rnacentral:rRNA from 1 species